CGCACAUUGCGCCCAUUGGUAUUCCGAUGGGCACGUCUGUUUGAGCGUCAUCACAACCCUUUCGGUGGGACUUUGCUGUACCCGGCCGGUGCUGAGCUCGGUUGUUGCCCGACCCAGGUCGGGUGGCCGGCUUUAAAGUUGUGCGCUCUGCGGGACACCUGCCCAGCUAAACAUAGUAAUACUGCUACCUGUUGAGCUGCGGCGCGGUGGCUCCCGCCUGAAAAAACCUCAAACCUUUGAAGUUUGACCUCAGAUCAGACGAGGAUACCCGCUGAACUUAA
rnacentral:misc_RNA from 1 species